GCAGUCGAACGGCAGCACGGACUUCGGUCUGGUGGCGAGUGGCGAACGGGUGAGUAAUGUAUCGGAACGUGCCCAGUAGCGGGGGAUAACUACGCGAAAGCGUAGCUAAUACCGCAUACGCCCUACGGGGGAAAGCAGGGGAUCGCAAGACCUUGCACUAUUGGAGCGGCCGAUAUCGGAUUAGCUAGUUGGUGGGGUAACGGCUCACCAAGGCGACGAUCCGUAGCUGGUUUGAGAGGACGACCAGCCACACUGGGACUGAGACACGGCCCAGACUCCUACGGGAGGCAGCAGUGGGGAAUUUUGGACAAUGGGGGAAACCCUGAUCCAGCCAUCCCGCGUGUGCGAUGAAGGCCUUCGGGUUGUAAAGCACUUUUGGCAGGAAAGAAACGUCGCGGGUUAAUACCCCGCGAAACUGACGGUACCUGCAGAAUAAGCACCGGCUAACUACGUGCCAGCAGCCGCGGUAAUACGUAGGGUGCAAGCGUUAAUCGGAAUUACUGGGCGUAAAGCGUGCGCAGGCGGUUCGGAAAGAAAGAUGUGAAAUCCCAGAGCUUAACUUUGGAACUGCAUUUUUAACUACCGGGCUAGAGUGUGUCAGAGGGAGGUGGAAUUCCGCGUGUAGCAGUGAAAUGCGUAGAUAUGCGGAGGAACACCGAUGGCGAAGGCAGCCUCCUGGGAUAACACUGACGCUCAUGCACG
rnacentral:rRNA from 1 species